rfam:Agrilus planipennis Contig40514, whole genome shotgun sequence.
UGGUACUAAAAAGACUUGAGAGACAGGUUUUAGUUGGUAGGCGCUCCUUUUGGAGUGAAUCCAACACUACCCAGUCGCACGGACGGAGUGUCUUUUGAAGAUUUUUCCUCUGUCA